UACGUAGGGGGCAAGCGUUGUCCGGAAUCACUGGGCGUAAAGGGUGCGUAGGCGGUACUAUAAGUCUGAAGUGAAAGCUCAGGGCUUAACCCUGAGAGUGCUUUGGAAACUGUAGAACUUGAGUGCUGGAGAGGCAAGGGGAAUUCCACGUGUAGCGGUGAAAUGCGUAGAGAUGUGGAGGAAUACCAGUGGCGAAGGCGCCUUGCUGGACAGUUACUGACGCUGAGGCACGAAAGCGUGGGGAGCAAACAGG
rnacentral:rRNA from 1 species